GCUGUCUUCCCUCAUAUUGAUCUACACAGACAGAAAAUGGCAUCAGCUGAGGCAUCAAUAAAAAGUAUAUAAGCUUCUGUCAAGGAAAUCUUGGAUCUCCUGAUCUUCCGUGGAGGAGCCACUGACUUCCGAAUAGAUGGCCUCUCCAUACCUGAAAGUUUACCAAUGUCCCAGUAUCGUUGAUUAAGGCGCCAUUUUAUCAAGAACCCAAUCGAACAGGAAAUGCAACAGCUAGAUAACGAGAGCCAUUUCAGGAUAGAUGAGAAAUUGCAAUUCUGCGACUGAGCGGCGACUAUGGAAACCCUAUGGACUUGAUCUAGCCAGAGCCCACGCCAUUACAAGGGUUGACAAGCAUUACUGAGAGUGAAAGGAAAGUCGUCCUCCAUUAUGCAACGUGUGGUUAACACCUCUUCGAACCUAGAACCGCUUCAAUGGUCCCACCUACUCGGAGUAACCUGUUUCGCAAGUUCAAACCGACAGGUUUCAGGUGGAAACGAAUACAGCAUUGGAUCUAUUAUUCAUUGGAAACAGUCAAGGCAGUGUUCAUAUUUCGGCCAUGAAAUAUGCAAGAGUAUUAAGGCCUAUCCCAUCGAGAUCCUGGUUACUUCACUGGAAAAGGGAGAAACAUUGCCUCGUAAAUAUUGAUCAAGUUAGGGUUCAUAAUUGUGAGAAAGGAUGACCAACGUGUGGUUCGUCGCAUUCGUUUGAAAGCGCAACACUUACAUUACAGGUAGCUGUUCUUAAGGUAGUUUCCCUUUCUCAUUAAAAAGGGGAGGGAAGGAGGGAACACUCUUACUGAUUAGGUGGGGCGAUUGUAGAAUAUGACCUUCCAAUGUUCUGACCCUCUUUUUCUUCCCUCUCUGUACCUCUGUAUAUCCCAUUUCACCGCUUUGCUUUUCAACAUUGUUUGAACUAUAAAUAUAUAGGGCCUAUUUCGCUUCACUUCUUCCACGAAUGAUCUACCAUCCAAACCGUGCGAGCAACAAAAGAAAUGAUUUCAAGCACUACAAAGAAUCAACUGUAUUGGAAAACAAUUUAUUGCGUUUUAACAAUUCAUUAGCGAUGAACAUUAGUGCGGAGGGUUUCAUUCAGCCCGACUCGUACCACACACAUUAUCGAUUUCAUGCUUCAGAUAAGUGGGUCACAGUGUGAGUUAUAGACGUCAAUUCCAAUUUUCCAGAGUGAAUAACCCGAAAUUGGGCCAUCCAAUGUCUUUCAGCUGCCAUGGCUACCGACCUUCCCCUGUUCAUCUUUCUCUAAACGUUUUUGCAACCCAACGGCUUCCCCCCGAGCUAUUCCUUUCCCGCCAGGAGUUUGGAGUUACGUAAAAGGAGAAAGAUAGGGGUGCCGUGUGACGCGGAGCAAGAUGCAGGACGAAGGAGGGGGAUUGGUUUUUCUAAACAUAAUUCGUCCUCUUUAUUUUCUCCUUCGCUAAAGAACAGCCCCUUAGUGCGUGUGUGUUUGCAUACAUAUAGGC